GACGAACGCUGGCGGCGUGCUUAACACAUGCAAGUCGAACGGAAAGACCCUGCUUUUGUGGGGUGCUCGAGUGGCGAACGGGUGAGUAACACGUGAGUAACCUGCCCUUGACUUUGGGAUAACUUCAGGAAACUGGGGCUAAUACCGGAUAGGAGCUCCUGCUGCAUGGUGGGGGUUGGAAAGUUUCGGCGGUUGGGGAUGGACUCGCGGCUUAUCAGCUUGUUGGUGGGGUAGUGGCUUACCAAGGCUUUGACGGGUAGCCGGCCUGAGAGGGUGACCGGCCACAUUGGGACUGAGAUACGGCCCAGACUCCUACGGGAGGCAGCAGUGGGGAAUAUUGCACAGUGGGCGGAAGCCUGAUGCAGCAACGCCGCGUGCGGGAUGACGGCCUUCGGGUUGUAAACCGCUUUCGCCUGUGACGAAGCGUGAGUGACGGUAAUGGGUAAAGAAGCACCGGCUAACUACGUG
rnacentral:rRNA from 1 species